ACAUAAACAGUAUAUACCGUGACUUCGGUGUGUUCGAAACAGUUCAAUGUUUGAAUGCGUACAAGUACAGAAGUAACCAAAGUAGUGGUGAAAUAAUUUUUUUUAAUUGUACGUCAAUAUAACAGAAUUCUUUCGAUUACCAUAAAUGGUUCAGAAAAAAUUUCAAUACAUGCGAAUAUGACUUAAAUAUCUUUUGCAAAACAAAUCCUUUAAUAAGGAUAAUGUCAGAAAUAAAUUAGUCGGAAAAUGCACGUGUUCCGUUAAAUUCGUAACACGACAGGUUGAAUAAUCAAAUGACAAAGAAAUGCUUGAUAAAAUGAUAAAAACAGUGAGUAAAAAUUAAGUCAAUUGAACGAUUAUCAAUACUCUUCCUUAAAUGGAAUCAUAUGAAGCAACAAUAUUUUGCAGUGGCAGAAAAAAGAACUUUAUCAAAGUGUUUAUUAAGUGCCUUAAUUAUGAUAAUGAUCUUAUGGGACGAUUAUCAGUGUGAUUUAUGUUUAUUAUUGAAUGAAAGACAGUGAUCAGCGUGUCAUGGAGGACAGUGGUCAAGUACAUUCUACUCUUCUCGAAGAAACCUUUUAUGUUACGUCCAAAAAAAACACUUACUAUAAGGUGAGACUAACAGAAAAGGGCCUUAGCCUAGAGAAAGACAAUAAUGGUACGACGAAGGUUGAAACGAUCAUUCUAAACGACAUAAUAGGGUGUAGAUGUAUGCGUUCGAAACGUAAAAGCGCGGGAAGCUGUGUUUGUGGGCCAGGUACUUCGAGAUCUCAAUUCAAGCUAGUCGAGUCUGCAGAAGCAUAUCAAUGUUAUGAUGAGUUCGAUACCUCGGCCUAUCUUUAUAUCUAUGCUUACACAUUGAAGAAAGCACGUAUGAAAGGUGUCAAGAGACGAGAAAGGACGACGAUCACGCUACGAUUCCGCAGUUUUGACAAAUAUGAAGAUAAUCUACGAGAAGCAAGCAGGUGGCGAUUAGCUAUAAAAUGUCUCAUUGUUGGUGUGCCUGUGCCUAAAAGUUUUAUGAGUCCGAGCCACGAGAAUCUUGAAUCGUUGAUUAGUGCUUGUCCAGGCGAGCAACGAAAGAUACUAGUAUUGCUGAAUCCGAAAUCUGGACCGGGAAGAAGCCGAGAAACCUUCCAGAAAAGAAUCCAUCCGAUUCUAUCGGAAGCAGAGAGGCCUUAUGAGGUUCACGUCACCAAGUGUCCCAAUUACGCACGCGAGUUCGUGCAUACGAGGGACAUCUAUCAAUGGAGCGGACUCGUGAUGGUCGGGGGCGACGGAAUAGUGUUCGACGUAGUAAAUGGACUUUUUCAGAGGCCCGAUUGGGAGAAAGCUCUGAAGGAAUUACCCCUUGGCGUGAUACCCUGCGGUUCCGGUAAUGGCUUGGCGAAAUCCAUCGCGUACGCUAAACAGGAACCAUACGAUUACAAUCCUCUUCUUAUCAGUGCAUUAUCCGUGGUAAAAUUCAAGAAAGCUCAGAUGGAUUUGGUGCGCGUUGAAACCAGAAAUCAGAUUCUAUUUUCAUUUUUAUCGGUUGGAUGGGGUUUACUUGCUGAUAUUGACAUUGAGAGCGAACGUUUACGCGCAAUAGGCGGUCAGAGAUUCACUGUGUGGACUAUCGCCCGUUUGAUAGGCUUGAGAACGUACAAAGGAAAGGUGUCUUAUUUACCUUGCGAUAAAGUACCGUCCGUGGAGAGUUUAGGUAAUGGAAAUGCCUACAAUGAAUAUACGAAGGAAACGCAGAUAUCGCAUUCAAGGAGCUGCGGCGACGAUUUAGAUCGAUACAGUAAAAUCAGUGAAUCAAAGAGUUUUCACGAUACGCUCGAUGGAGAUCCUGCUAUUUUAGAUGGAUCAUCCGAUAUUUACGAUGAUAACGAAAUAAUAAGCGAAAAUAUUACUUUGGAAACAGAAAUUGAGAGAAGACAGAGGCUAGACAGUUUUUAUUCUGCGACAUCUGCGAAAUCGACUUAUUUUAGUACAGGUUCAAUUUCUAGUUACCAUAGUGUUGAUGAACCCGAUAAUGAAAAUAUUGGAAGAAGAAAUAAACAAAUUAAGUACCACUUUUUAAUUAUUCAAAAAUAUGUUAAUCGGAAAAUUGUUGAAAGUAUUUAUAAAAUACAAAAGACAGCAACAAUCAAGUUAUGUAUGGUCCCUCAUCGAGAUUACCGGCUCUAACUUCAGAAGUAUCAAGUUCCUGGACACAAAUACAGGGAGAGUUUGUUAUGGUUCAUGCCGCAUAUCAAUCUCAUUUGGGCCAGGAUUAUUUCUUUGCACCUCGUGCCAAAUUGGCGGACGGUAUUAUUUGGCUCAUGAUAGUGAAAGCCGGAAUUACUCGAGCCAAUUUGCUUCAGUUCCUGUUGGGCUUAAGUAAUGGUUCUCACGUAACGCGUUCUGGCAUCGACAUGAUACCAGUAAAGGCAUUUCGAAUAGAACCAGAAGAAGGAGUCAAUGGAUACAUUACGGUAGAUGGAGAAAGAGUAGAUUAUGGACCUUUACAAGCAGAAAUAUUCCCGUCUUUAGCCACAGUAAUGUCCCCUUGAUACAAAUUAGCAUUACAAUUCGUACAGAGUUAGCAAUGGAAAUCAAAUGGUACAAUCUUAGAACCUUAAGUUCAAUAAGAUAUAUAAUAUAUGUUAUGGUAGCAUGGUCCUGGUGACAAUACUGUAUUAAUAUAUUCUUAUUCGCGAUACGUAAGUACGAUUUUUAGCUCAGAGGAUUAUGGUAGGUGUAUACUCUAGAUUAUGAAGUUAAAUCAUUCCAUCAAAUGUAUACGAAAAAAAUGU